rnacentral:rRNA from 1 species
CUGCAGUCGAACGCUGAAGCUCCCCUUUGCCCGGGUGCUAGCGUCGGACGGGUGAGUAAUGCUUAUGAAUCUGCCGAUUAUUGGGGGACAACAUUCCGGAAGGAACGCUAAUACCGCAUACGCCCUACGGGGGAAAGCAGGGGAUCUUCGGACCUUGCGCUACUGGUGAGCCUAAGUCUCAUUACCUAUUUGGUGGGGUAAGGGCCUACCAACGCGACGAUCUGUAACGGGUCUGAGAGGAUGAUCCGCCACACUGGGACUGAGACACGGCCCACACUCCUACGGGAGGCAGCAGUGGGGAAUAUUGAACAAUGGGCGAAAGCCUGAUCCAUCCAUGCCGCGUGUGUGAAGAAGGCCUUUUGGUUGUAAAUCACUUUACUCUAUGAGGAGGCUACAUGGAUUAAUACUCUGGGAUAGUGGACGUUACUCCCAAAAUAUGCACCGGCUAACUCUGUGCCAGCAGCCGCGGUAAUACAGAGGGUGCGAGCGUUAAUCGUAAUUUACUGGGCGUAAAGCUUGCGUAGGCGGCUUCUUAACUCGGAUGUGAAAUCCCUGACCUUAACUUAGGAAUUGCAUUCAAUACUGGGAAGCUAAAAUAUGAGAUAGGAUGGUAGAAUUCCAGGUGUCACAGUGAAAUGCGUACAGAUCUGGAGAAAUACCGAUGGCGAACGCAUCCAUCUGCUCUAGUACUGACGCUGAGGUACCAAAGCAUGGUGGAGCACACAGGUAUUACAUAGCCUGAUAGUCCGUGCCGUAAACGAUGUCUACUAUCCGUUGGGGGCCUUUGAGGCUUUAGUGCCUCAGCUAACGCGAUAAGUACACCCGCGCCGGGAGUACAGUCGCAAGACUAAUUACUCA